GAUGUUGUAAUGGUUGUAACACAGACUGUAAUAAUCUAAUAAAUCAUUUUAUCUGAUGAGUUAACAAUCAACGUUAAGCUAGCUUCGAAAAUUACCAAUGAUUCAUAGUCAGAGGAAACGUGAAAGUCAUGCAAGUAUGCAACCUACCGUCAACUAUUUUGUUCAAACUCAUUGUAUUCUACUGAAUGUGUCAUCAAAAUGAUACAGGAUUAAUCUUAAUUAUCGGCUGUUUCUAUUGAACUUGCUAGAUCACCAACCCCAGCAUGGAACAAUCUCUCAUUCCAUCUUAUACAGAAUCUUGGAUAGCCUAUUGGUGGUUUCAUUUUAUGAAUUGUAGGAAGGAAUGCCAAAGGCAACUAGCCUAGACAAGUAGCCUACCAUACGUUUUUUUCAUGAAAUUGGCGUUCAGCUGAUGCUUCAUGCUGUUAAAACAGGUUUAUUGCAGCAACUUUGGGGAAGUCGCAUGAAAAGAUGUAGGGCACAUACCAACAUGUGUUGAAUUUAUCUGAAUUUUUUCCUCAAGCAAUUCAACAUGACUUUUUUAUGCCAAAGUUAGUUGGAACUCGUAACUCAAACCACUCAAACACAGAUAAAAACCAUUGCUGCUGCUGCCUUACAGCCACAGGCAGGAAAAUUAUUCUUUAUUUCAGAAAAUUUGUCGAGUCCUACACCGAGGCUCCAAAGUACUACACAACUACACAUGCUGCGCCAGAUCUCUACACUGUGGUUCCCAAGUACUGCAUCACCAAGGCACCGGUUUCUACACAACUACGUAUGCUGCGCCAGCUCACUACACCGAGGCCUCCAAGUACUACUCUGCUCCUGUCGCUCUUGAUUUAUCGGCUGCAUUUUGUCGAUAUGUCGUCUCUUGGUACCGGCGUCGAGUUGAAUCGUUUGCUGCCGUUCCAUAGACUUGAUCCAUUGGUAAAACUGAGGAGAAGUUGCUGAAAUUCAAAACUCGUCAAUAAAUUAUGUAGAUGUAGACAAAUUACAAGUGCAUAUCUGGGCUCCCU